rnacentral:piRNA from 1 species
GCCCAGCUCAGCCAGAGCCCAGUCCCCGUC